CCCUUAGAUGUUCUGGGCCGCACGCGCGCUACACUGACGAAUGCAACGAGCUUAUAACCUUGGCCGAAAGGUCUGGGUAAUCUCCAAAUUUCGUCGUGAUGGGGAUAGAUUAUUGCAAUUAUUAAUCUUCAACGAGGAAUGCCUAGUAAGCGCAAGUCAUCAGCUUGCGUUGAUUACGUCCCUGCCCUUUGUACACACCGCCCGUCGCUCCUACCGAUUGAAUGGUCCGGUGAUGCGUUCGGACCGUGGCCUUUGGACGGUUCGCCGUCUGUUGGCUGCGGGAAGUUCGUUAAACCUUAUCAUUUAGAGGAAGGAGAAGUCGUAACA
rnacentral:rRNA from 1 species